AGUCUCCUUUUAGGUGUUUGCUUUAUGUCCAAUUUUUCAUCUGAAUCUUCAGCCAUUCUUGUACUUAAAGGUCUAAACCUUGCCCACGAAUGAACCGAUUAUUUAAACCCAGUUUAACUUCUGUAAGGAUCACCACCAGCAAAUACAAUCACACGACUGUAUAUGGAUCUCGUAACUGUAAGCUCUGGGAAAGGAUAUUGGCAAUUUCCUAUACAUUUAUCUGCUUGGUUUAUUUAACGAUUUUAACAAAAGCUUUUAUAAAACAAUUCAAGAAUUUAAAACGACAUACUUCACAAUGCUCGGUACGCUUGUGAGCGCUGAUCCACAUAUUUGUUAACAACGGUUUCGAUAUGUCCGGGAACGCUUUACAUUUUCAACUGCUUUUUACCUUUAGGCACUUUUUAACGACUGUAGUUUUUCAAAUAAAUCCUUCGAUUCUU